rnacentral:lncRNA from 1 species
AGCCGGCGAUACAGACCUCUACCUCUCUCUCUCUCUCUCUCUCUCUUUUAACCUAACUUCACCAAUAAUGCUAAUCUUACUACUCCAUUUGGCCUCUCAGUCUCUCUCUCAGUCUCUCUCUCUCUCUCUCUCUCUUUCUUUCUCUCUUUCUCGCUCUCUUGCUCUCUUGCUCUCUCUCUCCACUUCAACUUUACAUCUAGUUUAACGGACAAUUCCUAUCAUUACCCCCCCCCCUGCCCCUCUCUCUUUCUCUCUCUCUCUCUCUCUCUCUCUCUCUCUCUCUCUCUCCCUGCCCCCCUCCUUCUUUCCACUCACGGGCCUGCAAGGCCUUUUCAUCAGAGGCAGGAAGUGGAGUUAAACUCAGCCAUUUUCCUCCCAAUCGCCCCUAAGACCUCACUUCCUCUGGCGGGGAUCUGCAGGCCUUCCUGUAAACUCUGCUACACAUUCCCAGCCAAAGAGGACUCUGGGAGAUUAGCCUUAAAGCUGAACCAGGGGCAAGUAAAAAUACCCCUCACAGAAAUGAAGGACAGAUUGAAAGGCAGAAUAAAAGGGAGAGAGAGAGAGAGAGAGAGAGAGGGAGGGAGAGAGAGAGGGAGAGAGAGGGAGGGAAAGAGUGAGGAAGGGAGAGAGAGAGAGAACGAUUUACAUGCAGAGCGAAAGAGAAUAACAUGGAGAGACACACCACACCUCUCUCUCACUCUCUCUCUCUCUCUCUCUCUCUCUCUCUCUCUCUCUCUCUCUCGUCCUGUUCCAGCCAGAGGUCGUGCUGGGGUCAUGCAGAUGGACAGGCCGUGUGACUGAGGGGCAGUUUGUGGUGUGUCGAGGGACAAGCCGGCCUCUGAUUUUACACGCAGCCGCCCGGAGGCCCGCAGUCCCCCGAAACUGUAAAGAGGAACCCUCUCCCACAAGUAUUUUUACACGCCUACAAAAGCAGAGAGGUAUUGUAGCAGAGCACGCUGACUUCUCCUCCCACUCCCCGCCUCUGGCUUCACUCUCCUCCAGUGGACACACACACACACACACACACAUCUGCUGGGGCUGGGAGAGGCCAGCUGUGUGUGUUUGAGUG